AUACGUAGGGGGCAAGCGUUAUCCGGAUUUACUGGGUGUAAAGGGAGCGUAGACGGUUUGGCAAGUCUGAUGUGAAAGCCCGGGGCUCAACCGCGGGACUGCAUUGGAAACUGUCAGACUUGAGUGCAGGAGAGGUAAGUGGAAUUCCUAGUGUAGCGGUGAAAUGCGUAGAUAUUAGGAGGAACACCGGUGGCGAAGGCGGCUUACUGGACUGUAACUGACGUGGAGGCUAGAAAGCGGGGGGAGCAAAAAGGAUUAGAUCCCCUGGUAGUCCACGCUGUAAACGAUGAAUACUAGGUGUUGGGAGACAAUAGUUUCUCGGUGCCGCAGCAAACGCAAUAAGUAUUCCACCUGGGGAGUACGUUCGCAAGAAUGAAACUCAAAGGAAUUGGCGGGG
rnacentral:rRNA from 1 species